rnacentral:rRNA from 1 species
GAUGAACGCUGGCGGCGUGCCUAAUACAUGCAAGUCGAGCGAACGGACGAGAAGCUUGCUUCUCUGAUGUUAGCGGCGGACGGGUGAGUAACACGUGGAUAACCUACCUAUAAGACUGGGAUAACUUCGGGAAACCGGAGCUAAUACCGGAUAAUAUUUUGAACCGCAUGGUUCAAAAGUGAAAGACGGUCUUGCUGUCACUUAUAGAUGGAUCCGCGCUGCAUUAGCUAGUUGGUAAGGUAACGGCUUACCAAGGCAACGAUGCAUAGCCGACCUGAGAGGGUGAUCGGCCACACUGGAACUGAGACACGGUCCAGACUCCUACGGGAGGCAGCAGUAGGGAAUCUUCCGCAAUGGGCGAAAGCCUGACGGAGCAACGCCGCGUGAGUGAUGAAAGUCUUCGGAUCGUAAAACUCUGUUAUUAGGGAAGAACAUAUGUGUAAGUAACUGUGCACAUCUUGACGGUACCUAAUCAGAAAGCCACGGCUAACUACGUGCCAGCAGCCGCGGUAAUACGUAGGUGGCAAGCGUUAUCCGGAAUUAUUGGGCGUAAAGCGCGCGUAGGCGGUUUUUUAAGUCUGAUGUGAAAGCCCACGGCUCAAUCGUGGAGGGUCAUUGGAAACUGGAAAACUUGAGUGCAGAAGAGGAAAGUGGAAUUCCAUGUGUAGCGGUGAAAUGCGCAGAGAUAUGGAGGAACACCAGUGGCGAAGGCGACUUUCUGGUCUGUAACUGACGCUGAUGUGCGAAAGCGUGGGGAUCAAACAGGAUUAGAUACCCUGGUAGUCCACGCCGUAAACGAUGAGUGCUAAGUGUUAGGGGGUUUCCGCCCCUUAGUGCUGCAGCUAACGCAUUAAGCACUCCGCCUGGGGAGUACGACCGCAAGGUUGAAACUCAAAGGAAUUGACGGGGACCCGCACAAGCGGUGGAGCAUGUGGUUUAAUUCGAAGCAACGCGAAGAACCUUACCAAAUCUUGACAUCCUCUGACCCCUCUAGAGAUAGAGUUUUCCCCUUCGGGGGACAGAGUGACAGGUGGUGCAUGGUUGUCGUCAGCUCGUGUCGUGAGAUGUUGGGUUAAGUCCCGCAACGAGCGCAACCCUUAAGCUUAGUUGCCAUCAUUAAGUUGGGCACUCUAAGUUGACUGCCGGUGACAAACCGGAGGAAGGUGGGGAUGACGUCAAAUCAUCAUGCCCCUUAUGAUUUGGGCUACACACGUGCUACAAUGGACAAUACAAAGGGCAGCGAAACCGCGAGGUCAAGCAAAUCCCAUAAAGUUGUUCUCAGUUCGGAUUGUAGUCUGCAACUCGACUAUAUGAAGCUGGAAUCGCUAGUAAUCGUAGAUCAGCAUGCUACGGUGAAUACGUUCCCGGGUCU